UACGAAGGGGGCUAGCGUUACUCGGAAUCACUGGGCGUAAAGGGUGCGUAGGCGGGUCUUUAAGUCAGGGGUGAAAUCCUGGAGCUCAACUCCAGAACUGCCUUUGAUACUGAAGAUCUUGAGUUCGGGAGAGGUGAGUGGAACUGCGAGUGUAGAGGUGAAAUUCGUAGAUAUUCGGAGGAACACCAGAAGCGAAGGCGGCCAACUGGCCCGAUACUGACGCUGAGGCGCGAAAGCGUGGGGAGCAAACAGG
rnacentral:rRNA from 1 species